rnacentral:rRNA from 1 species
ACGUAGGGUGCAAGCGUUAUCCGGAAUUAUUGGGCGUAAAGGGCUCGUAGGCGGUUCGUCGCGUCCGGUGUGAAAGUCCAUCGCUUAACGGUGGAUCUGCGCCGGGUACGGGCGGGCUGGAGUGCGGUAGGGGAGACUGGAAUUCCCGGUGUAACGGUGGAAUGUGUAGAUAUCGGGAAGAACACCAAUGGCGAAGGCAGGUCUCUGGGCCGUUACUGACGCUGAGGAGCGAAAGCGUGGGGAGCGAACAG